UAUGCAGGAAGUGGUGUAUGUCUAAGAAGCAGUGUUUGGAAAAGUUAAUAACAAUGUUAGUCAAGAACAUGAUUACUUUUAAAAAAACACAAGUAGAAAAGUUAAUGAUAAUGUUAGUCAAGAACAUGAUUACUUUUCAAAAAAAAAAAACACAAUUAAAAUUAAGAUUCGUCGUGCUUUAAAUCGUUAAUUACAUGUAGAAAUUUAUUAUCAUUUUUUCACUCAUGAAUCAUAGUCCAAUUUUGCAAUUUUAAAUAUUAAUAUUCGUAUUGCAUCAAGAUGUUUAAUAUAAAAUUUAUUUUAUUCUCCAAAUAUUAAUUUUGAAUCAUCAAUAUAAUUUUUAUAAGUCGACGCAAAUUGAUUUUUAUUAUACAAAUAUUAAUUUUGAAUCAUUAAUAUAAUUUUUAUAGACCGCCGCAACGCGCGGUUUUUCAACUAGUU
rnacentral:lncRNA from 1 species